UACGUAGGGGGCAAGCGUUGUCCGGAAUUAUUGGGCGUAAGGAGCUCGUAGGCGGCUUGGCGCGUCUGCUGUGAAAAUCCAGGGCUUAACCCUGGACCUGCAGUGGGUACGGGCAGACUAGAGUGCGGUAGGGGAGAUCGGAAUUCCUGGUGUAGCGGUGAAAUGCGCAGAUAUCAGGAGGAACACCGGUGGCGAAGGCGGGUCUCUGGGCCGAUACUGACGCUGAGGAGCGAAAGCGUGGGGAGCGAACAGG
rnacentral:rRNA from 1 species